GAGGGGAUAGCUCAGUGGUAGAGCGUGUGCUUAGCUGCCAUGAGGUCCUGGCUUCAAUCCCCAGUCCCUCCA
rnacentral:tRNA from 1 species